UACGUAGGGUGCGAGCGUUAAUCGGAAUUACUGGGCGUAAAUCGUGCGCAGGCGGUGAUGUAAGACAGGUGUGAGAUCCCCGGGCUUAACCUGGGAACUGCAUUUGUGACUGCAUCGCUGGAGUGCGGCAGAGGGGGAUGGAAUUCCGCGUGUAGCAGUGAAAUGCGUAGAUAUGCGGAGGAACACCGAUGGCGAAGGCAAUCCCCUGGGCCUGCACUGACGCUCAUGCACGAAAGCGUGGGGAGCAAACAGG
rnacentral:rRNA from 1 species